AGUGGCGCACGGGUGCGUAACGCGUGGGAAUCUGCCCCUCGGUUCGGAAUAACAGUUAGAAAUGACUGCUAAUACCGGAUGAUGACGAAAGUCCAAAGAUUUAUCGCCGAGGGAUGAGCCCGCGUAGGAUUAGCUAGUUGGUGAGGUAAAAGCUCACCAAGGCGACGAUCCUUAGCUGGUCUGAGAGGAUGAUCAGCCACACUGGGACUGAGACACGGCCCAGACUCCUACGGGAGGCAGCAGUGGGGAAUAUUGGACAAUGGGCGAAAGCCUGAUCCAGCAAUGCCGCGUGAGUGAUGAAGGCCUUAGGGUUGUAAAGCUCUUUUACCAGGGAUGAUAAUGACAGUACCUGGAGAAUAAGCUCCGGCUAACUCCGUGCCAGCCGCCGCGGUAA
rnacentral:rRNA from 1 species